rnacentral:rRNA from 1 species
UAGGGAAUCUUCCGCAAUGGGCGAAAGCCUGACGGAGCAACGCCGCGUGAGUGAUGAAGGUCCUCGGAUCGUAAAACUCUGUUAUUAGGGAAGAACAAAUGUGUAAGUAACUAUGCACGUCUUGACGGUACCUAAUCAGAAAGCCACGGCUAACUACGUGCCAGCAGCCGCGGUAAUACGUAGGUGGCAAGCGUUAUCCGGAAUUAUUGGGCGUAAAGCGCGCGUAGGCGGUUUUUUAAGUCUGAUGUGAAAGCCCACGGCUCAACCGUGGAGGGUUUUUGGAAACUGGAAAACUUGUGUGCAGAAGAGAAAAGUGGAAUUCCAUGUGUAGCAGUGAAAUGCGCAGAGAUAUGGAUGAACACCAGUGGCGAAGGCGACUUUCUGGUCUGUAACUGACGCUGAUGUGCGAAAGCGUGGGGAUCAAACAGG